ensembl:lncRNA
UACAUAAACGGCCAGCGGCUAAUCUUUAAAGGCUCAUGUUGAAGCCUUUUUAGUAUCCAUUUCAAACACCAGCUUGUUGUGCUCUCAGAGACCCCAAUACAAAAAACUGAAUUGCUAGAAAUAGGAGAAAAUCGAGUUUGAAUAGAACAGACCCAGACCCUAUUACAGCCUAGACGCCGGAUAAAAAUGGCACUUCCAUCACCCAAACACAGAUAAGUUGGGUGAGGAAGUUAUACUUUUUCCUUUUUGAUUGUGGAUCACAAGGAAAUGCAUUGAGCGACGCGAAGAGCAAGUGGGGUAGCGGUUAGCGGCCAUUACGAGGUGUAGCUACGAAUCAGACUGUCCUCCUCUACAGACUUUCACCCUGCAGAACCGAGCCACGUGACAUUGUUCCUCUUGUUACGUUACAACGUCCACUGAGGGCAAUCGUUAUUUAUUGAUGCUGCAUUGCUAUGGAACACCGGUCAUUUACCCAGAAUGCCGCUGUGAAACCAAAAGUGGGGUUUUCCUCAUACAGAAGAUAGUUUAGCUUGUUAAGCUACAUUAAGCAAGGAAGUCCACUCACAGCGGCUAUCACGCUGCAGUGGCUAUUUCAUUAUUUCAAUACAAUCAUGACCUUUUUUUAACUUUAACCAAUAUGUUUUGUUGCCUUAACCUCAUUCAUUAUUUUUACAAUAUUUUGUACAUUCAUUUCUACAAAUGUGACUAUGAAAUGUAUUUUUGGUUCAGCAACGUCGACAUUCAACAUUUGCCAACAUGUUUUCCGGUGAAUGCGUUGAGCACUAUGUAUCCAGGGUACAACUCACAACUCCACAACGGAAACAGUAGAAUUCAUUUUAUUUCGUCAUGGAGGCUCCUGUUUAAAGCAGGAGCCUCCAUGACGAGCGCUAUCGCUCCCGAUUAGCACUGGGCUGUUUGUGUCGGUGUGCUCGGGCAGAGUUCUUGUUGCUGUGGAAAACAAAAGAGUGGAGUCCUCUGGGUGCCUCCGAUGGGGAGGACGUUUAAUCCCAAUGUAUGCAGCUCAGGUAGAGCUUCAGGUCAAGGACAGUGUGGGCUUGGAUCUUAGAGCCAUGUUGUAAACAGAGUGGCCACUUACCUGCCAAUCACCAGCCCGUUGCUGGAGGACUGGACACGGAUCUGCAAUAUCCACAGUCAGCAGGCAAACAAGGUGUGUGUGUGUGUGUGUGUGUGUGUGUGUGCGCGGGCUAAGAAAAGAUUUUGCAUCCAGAGUGCUUUUGACCUCCAGGGUGAGACAAUUUGGAGUUCCUUCAAGCAGUGUGAGUGGAGACGGCGUGGCAGACCUCGCUGGCCCCGUCCUCCUGCAUCACACCGCCGGUUAGUCCUAAUCACAACCGACAUAGUGUCUGUCUGUCAGUUCAUUCAGACGCCAUGUUGGCUUCAAAGUUUGCACUAGUUCCAGAAAUUGCUAUCCAAGCCGUGGGAUGAAGGACAAAAUAAGAGUCGCCGAAAGUGAAAACUCGGCUACAAAUUGCCUUCCUGUGGCUUAAUGGUCAUAAUUCCCCCCCCAAAAAAGAGUAGAUGCAAAGAAUGCAGCUCACACAAAGGCAGCGCUAUUAAAUUCAGCAGUCUCCCGUGUUAAAUUAAAAUUAGACAGAACACUCUCUUUCCCGCUGAACCUCGCUACCGGUCUGUCUAAGCUGGCCCCGAUUGGUUGAUGGGAUCCAUUAAAACAUCUAAAUGAGAUUUUUCUUGCAUUACUUUUCAGAGAGACAAGUGAAAAUGACUAAGGAUAUAGUAAAUAGAAAAGCUUCCUGGAUGUACAUGCAAUAAAGCCCAGAGCUAAGCAGGGCCUUUUAAAUGAUUUGUCGAGCACCGGGCACAGCGCUUGAUGAUAUUUGCAUUUUUAUUUUUUGAUUUAAACUCUCACAAACCUAAUCAUUUCAUUUCUGCAAAUGUGGGCCAUUUAUAAGACGGCUACAUGAUAAAGUUUUCCAUUCUCCCAAAGGCAGACAAUGGCAGAUUAAUGAAACAAGGUGCUCUGCUCGGUAUUCUAGUGCCUUCGUUUUUUUAUUUAAAAAUGCAUUCUGCGGUGCAGCGUAGAGGCAAAAUCUAGAUGUUUUCUUUAUAGCGUCAGUGAGCAAGGAACUUUUAGUUGCUAAUGUCAACACACACCCACAAAGAACAUCCAUCUAUUGGUGCAGGACAAACUGACAGCUUCUUAAACUUCUUUCACUUUCAUUAAAAAUAGACACUUUCUUUUGUCAAUUUCCAUCCAGAGGAUUAGUCGGGAAAUUGUAAUGUAAUUUAUCAUAACCACAAAUAAAACAUUCAUUACAAUGGCGGUAUCGCAACAAAGUUUCAAAGUUAUGAGUGCCCUUCUUCACCGGCGCUAAAACAAUAUGCAGUCGUUUCUAUGAUUUACUGGAUCGAAAAAAAUCAAAUUGAGAUUGCACAUUCCACAUAAUAGAUCUAUUAUCAGGACCCGGAGCUCCGUUCUCCCAAAGCUUUCAUCUCGAUGUGAUUGCUCAAUUGCAUGUUUAUCAUCCAUGACAUUGGUGAAAUGUUUCUUUCCCAGAGUCACCUCAUAAAACCCUCAUUUACAAAAGUUUAUCCCAGAUUAGUCCAUUAGCCAAAUUACCUAGCCAAGCAGUUGAUUUCCGAACGCAGCGUCUUCAAUCUGCAGCACAGCGUGAGACCUCGCGCCGAGAGGGAAUGAGAGAGCGGGACCAACAGGAACGGUCCGCCAGCCCUGCACGUAUUAUGUCAACUUCCCGUCAUGAAAAAAAAAAAGGGACCCGCUCUAGCCGUGCCUCCGUCCUGCUCGCAGGUAAGUGUCCUGUCUCCGACUGUCCCGCCGGUAGAAAGCAGCAGAGUGGAGCUGAGCGAAUGCAGCAUGGAUCCGUCCCCUCUCUGAAUAGGAGUCUGGUUCCUGACUGCGUGGCUAAAGUACGAAGGGUUUUUUGAGGGCUCACUUAAGAGGAAGCCUCCGUUUGGUUGCCCUCGUAUUAGGUCAGUAAGUGAGGCUUUUUGCAAAGGCUCAUUCAGUCCAUUGCAUCAACUCUCAACACUGGCUGCUCUUUUCUUACUGUUUCAUUAUCAACCAAUGGCUUAGGGAGAGAUUAAAAGGCAUUAAUUCAGAAGUACAAUGACUCAAUUUUCUUUUCCCAACUCACUCUCACUCACUGCUCUGGUUUUCGGGACAGGCCUGGUGUCUAAACUAAGGCUUGACCUUCCAUUUGAAUAAGUUAAUGCACUGGUCUGUUUGCGGGGAGAGAAACGGGGGGAAGCGUGUAUCAGUUCCGUACAGUUGGCUCUGGGGAGAAUAUGAUUCCUUUUCAUCUGUCACUCUCAAGGUGUCAUUCUCCUCCCCAGGUUGUUAUCACCACGCAGGCCCUGACAGCUUCAAGCCGCUUCGUCAAGGGAAAAAAAAAAAGAGGCAGAAAAGAAAACUCCAAAAAAAAACGUUGCAAAGCUCGACGAUGAAUGCGUUUGGAAGGAGACGAAAAUGACACCUCGUCGUGCAAAGACGCUGCAUUAGGCUCCGUUCAAAUCAACAGAGACCCAAAGCCAAAUGUUCGUUUUGUGUUAUUCAGGGAUAUUUCUUGGAUUACUUUGUAAGGUCUUGUUAAUACCCAUUGUACUAUUCAUGAUAGCACGUUGUUAUGCACUAGUGGGCCAGUGUAAACAAAGUCAUGUGUAGAAUUUGCUUCAGUACGCCAAGGCAAGCUGCGAGAACAGAACUGGGUUGACAUUCUGAUGCCAGUUGUACAAUGUGUUCAAGCAUAAUAUUGCACUGAUUAUGUAUAACUGAUAACUAUGUCUGAUUUUCUUACAAUGGGCAGACAGAUUUUAUAAGAUCGCAGUUACGACACACAUAUUAAAGCGACGAUAACAGUCGUUUGUUCGGCCACCUGUUUGUGUCAUCAGCAGCACAUUCCGAUGAUUAAUGGAUGAAUUACCAUUUUCUUUGAGUCGUGUCUGUCUUAUAACUCUCAAGUAUUCUAACACAGGGGUACCCAACCACCAGGCCACGGACCGGUACUACUCCGUGGGCCAAUUGGUACCAGGCCGCACCACAGAAAGAUGACUUUUUUUCUGAAAAAUGUUUUAUUUUGAAAAUCGAACUGAUUCUCUCAUAAUUAGUCACCCUAUACAAUUACUCACUACUCCAAGACUGGUCCGCAAAAUAUUGUCUAGCAUGAAAACAGUCCGCGAGGCAAAAAGGUGCAGGGCCCCGUUCUCACACAUUCAUACGCCCAAAAAUUUGAGUUAGGAUUAGAAUACGUAUUCUUGAUGUAAAUCACACGAGUAAUGUUAUACCCUGGUCACCUUCAAAGUCCUGUGUUUGUUUGUCCCAAGUAGUAACCAAUACUUCUUCAUUACGAUCCCCAAAUGGCUUCCGUCGCUGUGACUAUGCAGUGUGAAUGUUACAGAUGGGCAGGUGGCUCUGUGCAUGGUAGCUCCUGUCAUCAGUGUGUGAAGGAUGACUUGUAGCGCUUUGAGUGGUUGGAAUUUUAAAAAAGUACAGUUCAUUUAUAAUUUACCAUUUUGCAGUGACUGUGAUCGUCCAAUGAAGAUGAUGCAAAUGGAGUCCGCUGGAUACCCGGUGCGUCUCAUGCAGAUGUUCGCGGGUCCCUCAGCGCCGUUUUUGAGCACUGGUUUGAUAUUCACUCUCUUCUUUGCUCACUUUAUGUUCUAAAUGCUCCACAAUGUUCUGCAGCAAACUGCUAACUCUACGAGUAAUGAGAGUGAACAGUGAUGAUUAGAGGGAAGUUGAGGACAGGAAAACUUAUCUGGGUGUAUCGAUCCAUUUCACAGUCAUUUGACCCACUGUUAUUGUAGAACAUUUGAUUAUAGCCUCUGUGCACACUGUGGAAUGAAAAUGUAAAGACCCUAUAAAUAAAUGUAUUAGCCCAAAGGGACUACACAGCAUUUUCAUUGAUGAAAUAUGUAAUUUCAUUGAGCGUAUGGAAACAUUUUUUAUUCACAAAAUCCAGCUUAUCUGCCGCAAGUGCUGUGCUGAUAAGAGUGCAGUGUAUCGCAUCAAUCACUUGUGUGAAUGCUGUGAAUUUAUUCCGGCACACUGAAUAUGCAACACAUUGCAUUUAUUAUUGAUACCUACAGUCAACUAAAGUAGGCUACCUGGGAUGUGGACAGAAAAUACAUUUAGUAUGCCUCUGAUCAUGGAGGUGUAAAGUGUGUCCUCUUGUAGGGUCUGAUAAUAAUUCAAUAGUCAGUGGUAUUAGUUAGUCAUUCUUUUUGAAGCCUUGUUUUUGUACAUAUUAUUGAAGGGUUUUUCUACAUCUGGAUCCCACAACUCGUAGCCUUCCUCAGAGCAGGAUAGCCGUAGUUGCAUUGGUUUUGAAUGUGAGCCAUCACUGUCAGGGCAUGAAGAGAAACACUCUCAAUCUCAGAGUCCCGGAAUUUGAGCAGUAAUGGCUUUUAAAUUUAGUUUCCCUUUCAAUAUUCAAGGAAUCCUCAUUGUUCUGUAACCUUUUAUAAUGGAAAUGUUUUAUCUUGUGUUUUUCUUUCCUUCUGAUUUGAUUUUCUUAUCAAAAUGUGUUUGAGAAGAAAAAUAUGUUGAAAUGUGAACAUUUCCCUUCAUUCUAGCUGGAUAAAAGAAGCUAGCGACAGCAUUUUGCCAAUGUUGUGGUGUAGCUGCUGAAGACGGGAGCAUCCGGGACGAGGACUACCUCGCGGUCCCGAUUUGCACUGGGCUGCUAAUGCAAAUAUCGCCUCUCUUUCUUUGGGGCUCCGGCUCUCGUCAGCUGCUUGUGGGCGUUCACUUUUAAGUUGACCAACUUGAUUCUGCCAGUUUCCUUCGAGCCAGUCACAUAGUUACUGUGACAUUUUACUACUGAUCUCCUCUUUGCUGAUGUCGGUAUCAUUUCAGUACGAACCGGUGCUACCCUCCUCCACCCAAUUCACCUCAGGUCUCCAGAACAUCCAGUCCUGCUACUCAUCCCAACAUAUGAUCUUCAGCAACGCACUUUAGAACCAUCACCUGUGUCUUGACUGCGGGAGGGAAAUCUUUUUUUGAUCUAACCACAGCAUCCCUACGAUCUUUAAUAUAGUAUGUCAAGACUCAUCUCAACAACACCGUUAGGUUAGGCAGGUUUUUUAGUGAUGUCUCUGGACAGCUAUAAAAUAUGAAUGAUAAAUCCCCAAUAGCUUUGGAUGAGUUUGGUUGUAACACCAUCUUCAGUUCAACAUUUUGACGUGAAGCUGGUUUUGACUCAAUCAGCAGGCACCUGAUGCCUCUACAGCAUUUAGCCAAUCGUUUCCCCAUCUCAUAUUUUCCACUGCUGCAUCGAGACAUUGCAUUCCUCAGCAGACCUCACCCACCCUCCCUGACACAUUCCAUUCCUUCUUCACAUCUCUGGAGGAGAACAAAAACAGAAACACACAGUGACGCGAGAAAUCCUCUGAGACCCAGAGAUUGUAAUAAUCUCUUCCCUUCUUUACAUUCUUCGAUUCCUAAUGCGUCCACACAAAAACAAAUUUAUGGUAAUCCCCCCAUCGCGUAUAUCCGCUGCUGUUGUCAAAUCCACAUGAGGGCAGCCAAACAUGCCUUUUCUCUCGCCUUCUGUAUCGGUGAGUAUGGAAGCACGACAGCAUUGUGCUCUGUAAUAAUUACUUCAAGCACACUUUCUUUUACACACUUUAGCAGCCCUAUUUAGAUUGCGGAUUACCAUAUCACUGAAGUGAUUUUGAAGUUCACCUACAGUAAUUCCGAACUCCCUAGUCCAAGAUGAACACAUGCUAAUCUGCUUUGAUGGGUGUAUGUACAUUUGUGUAGCUCACGCGUUGGACUUUGGUCUUUUCACAGUCAGAAGCUGGUAGAAUCAGCACGUGUGAGGAGGGUUGUGUGUUAUUAAUGGAGCAAUGCUGCUGUUGGCUUGGCAGAUUAUGAUUACUAGCUCAAUGUGUUCCUCACAACCAAUCACUGGCAGCCUGCUUUAAUGUGCAUGCCUGUGUGUGUGUGUGUGUGUGUGUGUGUGUGUGUGUGUGUGUGUGUGUGUGUGUGUGUGUGUGUGUGUGUGUGUGUUUGUGUGUGUGUGUGUGAAAUGGCAAAUGACAAUUUUAGACUCUAUAAAAACGAGACAUAAUGUUUUGGUUCAUUGUUAACUUUGAACCCUUUCAAUCUGCUCUACCGUUUGUUAGAGCACAUCUUGAGUCAUUAUAUAUUGUUGAAAAAUAUAUUGACCCGAACUUAACCUGAUUAAGCCAUCUCUAUUUUGUCCUACAAAAGAUUAUUAUUGCCCAGAGAGUAAGAAUGCAAAGUUCCACUACUUUUUUCUCAGCGAGGACAUAAAGGCUGUAGGCCUCAAGAGUAUUUUGGAGACCGCUAAACUAAUUUUCUGCAGCAGGGAAUUCCUGUUGUUUCAAACAACAGCAAUGGUUGGGGUAACGUUGCCUUUUGAUACCCAUUUUAGAUCUGUCCAGAUCCCUCCAGUUAAUCCAUUGAGGAAUGACCCUACUUCCAGAAGGUCGGACUCGUUCUUCCUUCAGCACAGGCCCUUGUAUUUUCUGGAAGUAUAAGUGCACGCUGCCAGUCACAGCGCGGCAGUAGCUUUCCGAUACGGCCCGGCUGUGUGCGGUUGAGCCGCAGACGUCUCUGCUAAUGGGUUUCAUUUGAGUGGCCGUGCUGCUGCUCUCUAAAGGUAAUAUGUCACAGUCCAAAUCCCCCCGGCCGUGCGGUCUGUCUCACCAGCGUCCAGCCCCACUCCAUCAAGUCGUCCCUCCGCCCUGACUAGCCCCUGGGGGAGACGCUUGCCGGGUAAAGUCUAGAAGUCUUUAGGUAAUGCUAGAUAGAGACACAGGACUGCAGUGGCUAGGAGGCUUUCAUGGUGCGUAUACAGACAUUGUGCCUGUAAGUGUGUGUGUGGUUAAAGAAAAGCAUUGUAUCUUGACUCUCAAUGUAAAAGAAAGGAAUAGAUCUAAUAGGUCAUUAUUGUAAGGGUUCACACAAGAUCACUGCUGUUGCUUCUUGUUUUUCUAUCAGUAGCUGAAGGCUUACAUGUAUCUGAAUGUCAUAAUUAAUCCCUCAUAACACAUACUUUGGGCUCACUGGCAUUUGGAACCACUGAGCAUGUGCCCUGUCAUUGAUUGAGUGUCAAUGUGUGAUUCCAUCGUAGAUUAAAGUGUCAUCCAAGGUAUUAUAUUAUAUAUUGUGAGCUGUAAAGUAAAGGUAUGGUUGUACCUACUGUGAAUCUAUUAUGUAUAGGAUAUGGAAUGUAUUUAAACAAUAAUAUCGAAGAAAGACAAACAAGACUUGUAAACAGCAGGUACACUUAGCUAGUCCUAGCUUUAACCUUCUUUAAAGGACAGCUACAUAUUACAAACCAACGUUGAAAUAGCAAUUAACUGUACUUGUAGGGGCCUGGGAAUUGCAUUGGGAAAGCAGUGAUUCUGGUGUUGUGUAUUUGUUAGGGAUGUCAACAGAUAAAUAAAUCAACUAAUUAAUCUCACAUUUUAAAAAUUAUUUAGAUAAAUCGGGAUGAAAAGUUUAUUUUUCUUCGAAAGACUAAAUCUUAUAAAUUAAUUAGCAAAUAAUCCCUUCAAACAGCACGUAUUUCAGACACUGUUGUUUUUUUAAACACAAAACUACAUCUCCCCACAUUGAACAUUUUCCAUUAGCCACUGUUCUUUAGGGACCAAUGGUUGUACUCUUCAGACCGUUUCCCACGCAGGGUAGAUGUUGAGAUGGAAGUAGCCUGGCAGCUAGCUCUGCCUAGCCGUGCGUAAACAGUUUCCCGCUGUGUAUCGCGCCUCUGUUUGUUUUACUUACUGCCAUACCAAUAUGAGUAACAUAAAAUUGGAUUUGUUGCAAACAUAUUCAACAACAAAAAACAUUCAAAAUACUUAAAAUAACUGUUCAAUACAAUUGGAACACUAACUUAAAUGUUGUCCCUCAAGAGAGUAACAUUAGCUUAAGUUAGCUGGAAGCGGCACGUGGUCCGCUGCGCUGUUUGACAGCAAGGUGGAGUAGCAGGCGGUGCAAGGUGGAGGAGCAGGUGUUGUUUGAGCACCGCAGCGCUCGGCCAAAACAGAGUCUGACUGAGGUCGUACCGGAGUCGACUGCUAUCUGGCUUGGUGGACUCUUCAGAGUCAUGAAAAUCGUCAAACUUUUUCAACCACAAUAUAAUCACCGAUCGCUCAGAAGCCAUUUAUUGCCAUAUGUGUUAAACAUAGAGGAUUAGGAUUUGACUUGGUGAACUCGUGCAAUGUAAGAAUAAAAUUCCUCAUAAUUUUACAGUAAUUUGUUACAGUGUAGACAUUAUUGGUAAAAUAAUACCAUUGUUGAAAGAUGCUGUGAUUUUUGUUUAAAACCUCUGAAUAUGGUUCUCUAAUUUAAGAAUUAAUACGCUGACCAUAAGCUCCAACAUCCCCUUUUAGAAUCCUCCCGCAGACAUGUGUUGCAUCUCUCUCCCCCUCAUUUCCUGUCAUCCAUCCGUUACCGCUCUCUUGGAAAGAAAUUAAAUAACCAAACAUAAUAACAUCCUUUAACUAACAAUGCCUUUCAUUUUCUUCUCCGAGCUAUAACUGAAACGAUCUUUUGAUUUCCCAUCAACUGUAAUUUGAGAGACAUCAAACAUCAUCUUUUCUUUUGAGCUGUAACAUCAUGUGCUCCUGCAAAUCAGUAUGUCAGCAUGCCGGUAAGAAAAGCAGAUGCAUGGUAGGUGUUGUUGAAAGCAACACUUUUUAUCUGUCAACUGCGUUGUUAGCCAACACCUCCUCGCUUUCCUCUUUUCUCUUAGUAGAAGAAAUACAUCGGAUUGAUUCUUCUUUCUCAGCGUGGUAUGUUGAAGGGCGCUGAUUCCCUCGCCGUUCAGGCGAGACCAUCCACUGAGCCGCCCGGCGAGACACGGAAAAGUAGCCGAGCGAGAGAGAGGUCGCCGAUAUGAUUAUCCCCCAAGUGUCAAUACAAAAGGGAAGGACCCCGCUGAGCCGGAAAAUGAAUGGCUUUGACCUCAUCAAACCUGCAGAAGCAUCUCCACUUGCUAAUUAAGAUCGAGUGGAAGAAAGUCACCAGCGCACCAGACAGGCCAUGUUCGCUUCAGCUAAUCAAGCACAAUUCAAAGUCCUUCUUUUUUCCUCAACACAUUACGCCCCGGACGGGACAAAUGGUAAGGGCCAUGCAGUUUGCCAUUGUUUUAUAAUUGUCCAGCAUUUGGUCAAUAACAGUCUAUCCCACACUUGGUCCUCAACCAUAACUUCCACUGGAUUGACCUGCAUGCUUGUGCCGUGUGCUCAUUUCAUCCACAUAGUAGGGAUGAUGUCGCAAUAAUAGGCUGGUUAUUCCCAAUUAUACUCACCAACAUCCAUCAUAAAUUGCUACUGUAAGCCAAGCAUGGGGUAAUAUUGGCUCCCAUUAAUAGUGUAUAUACAAGCAGAUGGCGCAGGAGUGGAGACUGUGUGCAUGGGUGUGUGUGUGAGGCAGCAUAAUUAAUUUCCAUAUCUGUUUCAAUGUUCCAGAGUUUGCAAAACCAACAUUUUUAAUUUACCACACACAUGCAUUAUCAUAUGCAUGGAGCAGUUAGAUGAGCAAAUGCCUUUCAUCAGCCAGGGCGAGAGCGGUCCCACCUCUUGGUGCAGGAUGUAAGAAAAUGCCUGGCUGAAACGUGGUACAACUCUGCCGCCCUGCCUUUGACACCUUUUAGAAGCUCUCAGUGGGUGCCUUGCUUUCACCUCUGUAGAUGUGUAAUCACACCUCCAGCACCAGCGAGUUCUCCGCUGCAGACCGGAGACUGCGGCCAACCAUAUCAGAGGUAGAAAACGCAGAUGACCCCGAUCAAAAGGGGAACCCAGUGAUACCGCAGGAAGGUUGUGUCUUCCCUACAUAGUGCUCCAUAUGAGUAAUGGAGAUACUCGUGGUUCGGAUCAGAUUAUCAGAUCCGUACCCCCCCCCCCAACCUCCUCUUAAACAGAAGAAAAGGUAAAAAAUAACAUCUCCUGUGUAAGAUGACAGGUAGAAGCAGCGAGGUGCCCGAGGCAGCCACCCAUUCGCUCCCUUUCGUUGGCUUUUCUGAAGGUCAAUCUUCAGCCGCCCUCCACGUGGCUGCAGUCCUGUUUACCUCUCUCUGAAAGCCAAUUACAUGGCCGCGGUGCUGGGCGAGCCGGGGCUCUUAUAGUCCUGCACACAGACACACGUGGGCAUGCACUCGCCAAGACGCAUCGCGCGCACACCCUCCCACACACACAGACAAACACCUGCAGCGGCAGCUCUUCUUGGCUGCGGUAGAAAGGCAGGAAUCUGAACUGUCUGUGGUGAAAUAUAUCAACAUGCGCACACAGACCGAUUAUUUACAGCUUGGUCGUAUUACGAGGCAACUUAGCAAGUGCAUGAAAAACGAUGGUUUGUUUACUAAGGGGUUUUAUAUUGGGUGGAAUGCAAGAUGAUUAUAAACCUGUCUUCAUUAUCUGAAAAAUGGAGAGGCCCUGCUAAUGUCUGCUGAUUUAUUCUAUAACCUCAAGGGUUUAGGUCGUGAUUUAUGCUACUCAAUGACAGCUUGUGUAAUCAUACAACUGUUGGUAAAAUCGUGAUGGAUGGCAGGUUGUUGUCCUCUGCACUACUUUGGCUUUCCCCUAUUACACUGAAUGAUGGCAGACUUAAGUACAAUCAUGUAAGGGUGGGAAACCUCUCUCAGACGGCGCCUGUUAGGAUUGUUAUCAUAAUUCCCAGCAUUUAAAAUGAGAUUUAAUCGGUGGGGUUUAGUUAUCACCUAUGUGGUGAUAUGGCCAAAAGACAGGUAUACGAGACAGAAUGUGCACUCCCCUCCUGUGCUGCCCACGUUCUUCCCUGCCAUCCACAGAUAAUAUAGUGCCAGACUGCCAAAUGAGCACCUGCAAAGAAUCCACUGCAUGUCCUCUUUUUGUGUCUAUGCUGUAUACCUUCCGCUCCCUCGUAACUUUCAGGGAUCUGGUGGAGACGUAAACAAAUGUGAAUUCUCAUUUUCGGACUACAUUCCCUGAUCCAGCAUGAGUGUCUCCAUCAGAUAAGUGCGAGUGCACAAACCAGAUGACCGCUCUGCUAUUUGUUGCGUUGCUGUUUCUGUGGACCAGAGAUAUCUGCAGAAACACAGGAAAAAUGAGUCCAUCUGUGUAAAUGAACAUCAAGCAUUGUUUUGUUUGUACGCUUCUCUGUCACCAAGCCCCAGGUAACCUUGAGUAGAAUAAGUUUUUUCACUGUACGCAGACAGAGUGUGAUGAAAUAACUGAGGUAAACAAUCAGUGUCAGAAAAAGAAGCGCUUUACUGACUUUACCAUGACCUCGGGACACGUAGGGCAACAUAUCAACAUAUACGACCAGGUAAUUCCUCGGUGGUGGAGGACCCCUCAGUGUAAAUGGUGGUGUAAGCAGGUCUUACUUACUCACCUACUAACAAAAGGAGAAAUAGACCCCCAAGGUGGAGCAAAGACGACGGGCUCCAUCUGGCGCCCGGGCAACCAAUGAAAAGAUUAAAGAACGCUGGGUGCCAGGAAGAAGGGGAGGAGGGGGCAUCAUGAAAGAGCUCCAGUUGGAUUUGUCGUCCAGGUUAUUGGCACUGAGUGUAACAUGGCUAACGAGGCAGGUGGCUACACAUGAAGGAGAAGGUAUUAUCUGCAGCAUCAACUCCUCACGACAGUGUUUCGUCUCUUCUUUUUUUUUACUGCCGGUGUUCUUUGAUGCUCCACAAGAAAAAUAACAAAAUUGAGGAGGGUGGGGGCAGAAGAAUGGAUCUAGGUAUGUGGUAAACAAUUAGGGCUCCUCUGCAGUGGCUGGGCUCGUUCGCUCCUUAUAAAUGACUAUCCUGUAGCUCCGUCCUCCCAUGGGGAGACGAAAGCGUGGCGUGUGCUCCACGCGCCACGCUCCCAAAGCAUUAUGGGAGAGGAAGUGAUAGUGAGCAGGGAGCCAUCUGCUUUCCCACUUGCCUAGUCUGCCCGAGCCAAUACCACCUCCUUCCCUCUGGUUCCCAGGUAGGAAGUGAAGUGGAUUCACACACACAGACACAUACACACUCACACACACAAUCCUUUACUUGAAUUGCCAGAUGUGUAGAGUGAGAAUUUACCUGCCGAUGAAUAUCACGUGUCUUCCUCCAUCAUGAUUCAGACUUCAUUUUCUCAUGCAUUGUACCCAGCUAUGAUAAUCAACAAAUGGAGGGGGAAUAGAUUCUUGGGGAAGCUGGCCACAGACGGAUAGCCUCUCGUUGAUAAGGAGGGCCAACAGACAGACAGUCUUUUUCUUUUCUUUUUCGGUUAACCACCGGUCUGUUUUCAUUUUAUCAGAGCAGAGAUCGGCCCCAGUGUCCUUGACAGGGGUGACACUGAAGAGAUGGAUGUACAGCCGGUCAAAGGAAAGUCAUUUAUUUCCGUUGACCCACUCGGUCAAGUGGAUUGAAGCUGAGCCUUUUGAUUUGGCUUUUACUUUGCCUUUUUCCCCCUGCUGAGUCCACACUGCUCCCUGCAAUUACUACAAACAGAGAAGGUGAUGGGUCUGAGAUUCUGUCCAGAUAAAGGAGUCGGGACCCUAUCUCUCCUGUUGACACCAUUAAGCCAUCACUGAGACCCAGAUGGGGGUGGGAGGGGUUGCGUACUGUGGGACUGUCAGUCAAAGCUUACCACCCAGCUCUUGUUGAAAACCAUCUGCCACUGAACUCCCACCAGCCUCUUUGUAUCCGAUCCCCAAACCAGCAGCAGAGCGUUGAUGGACUCAAUCGUGGGGAGGCAUAUUCACCACUUAUUGUCUUAUCAAAUGCAAGCAAGGGACUGCAGAAGCGUACGUAUUCUUGGAUGGAGGUAGUAGGUGGUAAGCGCUUACGGGUUACUUCUCAUGCCAGGCAGCACCGAGUGCCAGCGCUGGGAAAAAAAAGUCGUUCCAAGUGGCGGUCGUCCGACUGAGACAGCUGAAACAACUGCAAUCCAGCUGUCACGCUUUGAAAAUACAUAUGGAUGGUUUAAAAAAAAUAAUAAAAGGUGCGGUUCAUUUUCACAGCUCAGCAGCAUGAAGUACUUUUUUAAAACUGUUGCAGGCUAGAAGUGUUUUGCAAUUUAGUCACUCCAGAGCCAGUUCAACCUUAAUCCAUCGUCAGUGUCAGACAGCACAGCUAAAUCUCUUCAUGGUGGGACUUAUCGAACAAUAACAGACGUUUUACAGAUCCAUUUAUAGCUGGGAGAGAUGAAUAUUGUGUUGUGACUUCAGGGACGUUGCAGCAAACGUGUCAACUUGUUGUAAUACUAAUAUUUGAUGUAUUGCAUAAAUGUAUGAGGAGUUGUCACCAGCAUUUUAUUCCCACAUUUUGCUUAAACGUUUUUGAGGAGAUUAUGUCGGAAAUUGAAUCACUGAUUACACUUGAAUUAAUCUAAUUCCACCUCAGGUGACAAUUUUGGUCCAAAAAAACGACUAAAAGAAUCUUGCACAAUGUGCUCAGACAGAUGUUUCAAAUCAAAGCGAAACGCCUCUGCUUUUCACAUGGAACCAUCGCAUUGAAUAAUUCUUUUUAUUUGAAGUACAGGGAGUUUCCCGAUUCAAGGAAAUGGAAGGGAAAUAGUCUGCUGUUUGAAAAUAAAUAUUUAGAAAUAGUCCGUUUUUCUUAUCAGCAUGGACAGCCAUGGACUGUCCCACAAUUAAUUUGUUCGAUAAAAGUAUCAGGUUGCUGCAAAUUCAUUUCAAACAGCCUCUGCAGUAGAAAAUGGUUUGAAGAUUAAGUAAUGAUAUUGAUUUGUUGUAUUAAUAAUGCCAAUACGUGUUUUAGCCACCCUACCACCAUAGGAUGGUGAUAUAGUAGUUUGCAGAGUGAGUCUACCACUCAAGAUCAACUCUUCAACCUCAAAGUUGGUUCGUUAUGAAAUUUGAUUCAGACAUGCAACAUCCCCAGAAGAGGAAUUGUAAUUGCAUUGGGGUUGGCCUGACACUUCUUUUAGCGCCAUUGAUAUUGUGAUUCUGAAAUAUCUGGACAGCUACUGGAUGGAUUGGCAUAGUCAGUCAUGCUUCCCGACGGAUUAAUACCAAUCAUUUUUUUCAUUCUUCAUUUCAUGACAUAAUACCUGCAAAUAUAAGUCCAAUCAACCUUUGCUGCACUUUGAGUUCAGUGCGCAUUAGAAAAUUCUAGUACACGUUUGGUUGAGGUAAGAACAAAAAUGCUUUCUGUCAAAAUGACGACAUAACAAUGUUACCGUAUAACAUAAUUUAGCAUCAUAACGCAACCAUUUGGCAUAACAACAUAGCUUAACAACAAAAAUAAUAAAGAAUCCCAGUGAGUGGACAGUGUUUGUGAAGUUUUACUUUGAUAAGAGUGCAGAACCACUCUACAGGGGCUUGAGAACAGGCCUCACGGCAUGUAGUGAAAAUCUGGAUUUUGUGGCUGUGGUUGGCCGAUUUGCACGUUCAACCCCUCAUUUGAAUUGUCAGUUGGAUCCGAGUGAGGAAUGACUGUCGACAGUGACAUUUGGCUUAAAAAUUGCCUCCCUGAUUCCCCCCGAAAUUGGAAAUAUUAUUUUUGCGUUGCACCGCGUGUACACAAUGUUUGGACAAAUUUGUAUAGGAUAUUUUUAAACUAUUUUAGGCUUGUUGAGGUUGUGUUUGGAGCAUUUUCGAACGGGACAGUUGACGUCGUAGCCAAGACUUUUUUUGAUGAGGGCCUUGACGAGUACCUUGUAGUCAACAGUACGUGGUGGCUUGACCCCAACUGUAUCCUGCAGGGGUACAAUAGGGUGGUAUAUUGUAAUGUAACAAAGUACAAAGUCCUUUUCUUCUCUUUUAGAAUACCAUGGAACGUCAAGUAAUGUCCAAUGCAUAUACUGUACUACUUAGAUGGCACUUCUUUUUUUCAUUUUAUAACAUAAUAACUGCAAAUAAAGGUAUUUCUGAUAUGUUCAGGAUAAACUUUGGUUGUACAUAGCGAAUAGCAUUUGGUAAGUGAACUACUUUUGUGUUUGUACAUCUGCAGUUGUGUGUCAAUUUGUCUAUCGUAUUGUUUUUAAUAUGAAGUUAAAAUCGUUCCCUCUGGUGUAAAUAAUAUUUGAAUGGCUCAUGGGUUAGGGUUAGGGUUUUAGUGCAUUAGUUUUGAUGGAUGUUUUGCCAUGCUUUGUUGUAAAUAAAUGUGACUGGUUCUUGUGGGUUUGCUCUUGUCACCGAGUUGAUUACAUUGAUUUGACUAUUUGAAGAAUAUUAAGAGCUUAGAUUUGCACUAAUAACUCAAACUGCUUUUCUUCACGAAAGCCAGAGAGAAAAAGAACAAUAGAGAUCACACCAUCUGAAUACCAGUGCGGGUAAAUGAGGCGGCGCAACACAAGAUAGCAAGAGUCUCUCCAUCUCUUGUGUAAUGAAGAAUGACUGAGAGGGAUUGCAUGGGCCAACGGUAUCUGAAGAUGGGGCCAUUGCUAUGCACCGAGCAUUACAUUUCGAACUGUGCAAGUUGAGACCUAUAGCGCGCAAGGUGAGAUUGCAAAAAGAUGAGAAGAGCGCAAGGUUAAACGUCUCUCCUCUUGCUCUUUAUCCCUUAAAUGACAAAGCUCAUUCACACAAGCAGCUUGCAUUCAAGGACACCGGCAAGUCUGGUGGGAGGAUGAAAGCAGAAUUAAAUGGCAGACCUAUUUAGACCCCAGAAAAAAUAAACAAAAGAAAGAAAGAAAAAAAACCUGACAGUGGAAAAAAUUGGUGUUUAAUUAAAGACUAAAUCUUUCUGUGAAAAUAGAACAAGUAUGCAGUAAGAAAAAAUGUUUUGUUCUUUAUAUAUUUAAUGACUCGGGUUAAAGGAAGACAGCUCUUGCUGAGUCUGCCCCUGUGAAAAGGGCAGGGGGGAAUUUGAAAUAAAUAAUAGCUUUUUGGUUCUCACUCUAUAAUUCUUAAAAAUAGUUGGCAAACACCAUACGACAUUUUGUUUUCACAUUUGGGAACAUAAAACUGAGCAGCGGAUAAGAAGAACAACUGUAUACAAAACAACCUCAUAGCUCCAUACACCUGUGUGGCCAUGCAUAGCUGUGAGUGUUUGAUAUGACACAGUCCUUGAGGAGUGACAGUAAGUCACUGGCUUGUAUGGAGGGAUAACUAAGUGGAUUCCUGCUGCAGGCCUUUCGCUUCUCCGCACUUCAAACCUGGGAAGCAAAAUUAUUUGUUCGAACCGAGAGGCUUCUUUAUAAACCACCCAAAGGGAUUGCAUUUGUGUGUGUUUAUUUAUUCAGAAUACAUUUCCACAGGCGCUUCUACAACAAGUGGAUUUCUUUUUUCUAAUUUUUAUUUUGCAGCUGCCUAUAGCAAGGACUUUCAGUACAUCUGUACUUUGAAACUUGUACUUUCUCCACCUGGGAGGCCUCCUGCCAUGAAUGGCUUUAAUUUGAUUUUUUUUUCCUAUUGAUAAAAGCCCUUUACGGUGAAAUGAUUCCAUUCAUUGCGAGAGGUAGUGAAAUAAUUAAGGUCAAAACUCACUAAGGAUUUCUCUUCUAAUUGGCCAUAUGGACUGGAAAGGAAAGUUUUAUUGUUUUCCUUUGUCUUUCAAAGCAGAUGUGCAGGGUCUUUAGACUUUAGACUUCAGAGACAUUGUUGUCAUUCCCAUGGUGAUUCCAAACAUAAUUACUAUACCAUGUCUUAUGUUAUUUUAGCCCAUGCUAAGGUUAGAAAGUUAAGUACCAUUAAAGUUCGGCCCCAUGGUUCCCCCUAGGUGUAUUCAGUUGUCAACAAACGGUAGGGUUGCCACCUUUACCACAAAAAAAUAAGGGACGCAACGGGGGGGUGGCGGAUCUUACGGCCGACGGACAAAUCCCGUCCCAUAUUGAUUAAAAAUAGGACGCAUUAUUUUAUUCUCAAAUACGGGACGAUUCCGUAUUUUAAGGGACGGGUGCCAACCCUAACAGGCGGCUCUGUCUGUGCGAUGAAAGACAUCAUGUGCUCACACUCUACCAUUCUUUACAUUACAUGUCAUUUAGCUGACGCUUUUAUCCAAAGCGACUUACAAUAAGUGCAUUCAACCAUAAGGUACAAAUUUAGAAGAGCAAGAAACAAGAAAGUGCAAUUUCCUCAAAUAAGCCAAUUUACAAUUUGCUAUAGAUGGCGUUAUAAGUACAAUGUAAGUGCUACAAUUUGUUAGUCUUUAGUCGAGGUAGAGUCUGAAGAGGUGUGUCUUUAGUUUGCGGCGGAAGAUGUGAAGGCUCUCUGCGGUCCUGGUGUCUUCAGAGAGCUCGUUCCACCAUUUUGGAGCAAGGACAGCAAAGAGUCGUGAUCUAGUCGAGUGUUUUGCUCUCAGUGAGGGAGGGACAAGUAGUUUUGCAGAUGCAGAGCGGAGAGUGCGGGUCGGGAUGUAGGGUUUGACCAUGUCCUGGAUGUAAGCUGGACCUGAUCCAUUCACAGCAUGGUACGUGAGCACCAAUGUUUUGAACUGGAUGCGGGUAGCCAGUGAAGAGGGGGGGUCGUUGUGGCGCAGGGGUAGAGAGGCAGCGCUGGGAACCACAAGGUUGGUGGUUAGAGUCCUGGCUGCCCCGUGUCCCUGAGCGAGACACCUAACACCUAAUUGCUCUCACAUAUUGUUGGGAUCUGCAUGGCUCUUUUUGUUCAUUUUCUCUUAUGAUUGACAUUUGGUGGCCCUCACUCCCUCAAUCGUGUAGAGCACUGAGUGCGUCUCCGACCGCCCAUCUACUGCUCUGCGUCCACAGUAUUUGGCAGCUAACGGAACUCCAUGUACACACGCUACUGCUAACCUCUUGGCCGCUGCUCUAUGGCUCGUUUAAAUGGUUUUGAAUGUUUGGCUAGCCACCAACAACAGAACUACCAAAACAAACAAAACUACCUGACCUGUCGUCCGCGACUGCGUGGCUCACUUUUUUUGUUGUUUAAGUAGUGUUUGCUAACCGCUAAACAGCUGUAUCUAUUAGAAGCUUAGCCUCUGCAGUGCAAUCCAAAAGCUUGGUGUUUUGGGAAGGUUGAAUGAUGUAUCUUAUACGACGACUUUUAGCCAAUUAUCUGCACAAUUACUGCUUGUUUGAGUAAGAAUGAAUUGUGUUUUAAGACUCUGUAAAAGCCAUUAGGGUCUAGACAGAGGGAUACCAACUUCUGGGUUGUAUUUAUUUUGUAUUGUGAGGUGGUUUGAUAAAGACAGAACCGAGAGAGAUGCACCAUACUGAGUGCUCCUUUCUAACUCAAUUUGAUUUUAAUAAUUAAUGCUUAUGUAGGCGGGUAAAAUUGAGUGACAUCGGACACAACACUAUAUUUGGGGGUCUUUAUUUCUCGACUACUCUUUUGUUAGAGAGCAGUGUUAAAAGAAUUUGGAGGUGUUCAAUUUUAUGAGUACAAAUGAAUUUCAGAUUUUGAUUGUCCUUUUUUAACAUUUCACAAUUAAACUUAAGGCAUAUUUUCUGCACACAAAUAACUGCAGUGGUAACCCUCCUGCCAAUAUAACAAAAGAAAGUAAACAAACAGCACCACACCGUUACUUCUGAAAUCAAACUCUUAAAAUAAUAACAGAAUGCACAGCUUGUUGAAAAGUUAGGAGCGGCAUUAGCAUCGUAGCGCUCACAUGAACGCUCAACACAUGAACAACAUCUGAAAACAUCAGACCAACCAAAACAACCUGGUGGAUUCAGCAUCAAACAAUACAUUUUCUGAAUGAUCCAUAGACAGUUUUUACGUACAUUUUACAUAGUUUUGUACAGAGAUGGCAUUCAAUAUGUAUUCACUCACAAAACAUCCACCGCUCCACAGGACAGUCACGUGCAAAAGAACAAACUUCCUGUUCCCCUUAGUGGUGAACCUAGUUUUCCCACUGGGCUACACUUAGACAGAGGAAGCCACUAUUGAGAUUGACACCUAGGACGUGCAGGGUUUGUGAUCAUUUGUUAAAUAAAUAAAUUGGUACUUUUGAGUCAUGAUUCUGCGCCUCUGAUAAAUAUUUAAGUCUCCAGCUGGUCACACAUCUCUGGUUCUGCAUCUUAUAGUCCCACUUGUCUUUUGUUGUUUACCGUAGGACCUCUACAACAAUAUUCUGAUGCUAGGUCCCACUUUAUUAAGCGAGAUACCCCAACACAGUCUGAUAUUUUGACAUUAUGAGAACGAAAGUCGAGGGUAUCGCAUAUGUUAUUGUUAGUAGUAUUUCAAUGUGUUGAACUCUAAUAUUUGCUUGCAAAACAGAUUACAUCAGUGUUCGUUGGCCUCAUAUGAUCGCUCUUGUAACUGCACAGAGAACGCCACAGGGCAGACCUGAAUAGAGAUUAGUCCCGUUUUUACAUUUUGAUUUCGGGAUCCAGAGCAAAGCCAACCUUUUUAAAUGACUGUCACCUGCUGUAUUAUUUGCUGUAUAUGCCCCAGGGAAACUGUGAUCAUUGGCAGAUCGCUGGGAAAUCUGAUAGACACUUGCUUACUUCUCAAUGCCAGAGCCAUAGUUGCUAGAGGGAACUUUGUGUAUAGAUCUGACCGAGACCAUACGGCGUUCGAACAUGAAUACAUGAAUAUGUAAAGGUGGUCGAUGUCAUGUCGCUGGCCAAAGUGUCAAACCAAUCAAUAGACUGCAUUGCUCCCUUUCUGUGCCUUCAGCUGAGAUACACAAGGAAAAAGUGUGCCUCAAGAUUGGCACAAUUGCAGCAUUUCCCUGAAAAAAUUGUGCUAACCAGGUUGUGGUGCAAACAAGCCCGUGAAAAGUGCUCCAUUACCAUUUACAAGUGCAAAUUGCUUCAGCUUUAAAAUUAAUCCACCGAGGCUGUUACCUUUGCACCCUAAAGCCUCUUGAUGAAUAAAGCAUUCUCUGAUCUUAUCUCAGGUUCUAGGAAGGGAAAACCUCUCUCUUGCUUACCUGACUUGCCGGUAACAAUACUGAGUUUUAGAGGCAAUGGUGGGAGAUUCUGAAUGGAGGAGAAAUCAUUGCGAAAAGUCUUUAAUGCAUUUUCUAAGAAUCUUCCAUGGAAUGUGGGAGUGGAUUAGACAGAAUCUCAGUUUGCCGUACCUCCAAUACAAAUCUCUUUUAAGCAGUUAAAAUGAGACAAGAUUUACAUGAAAUUAACAUAUGUAUGGGUAUGAUAGACACAAAGAGCCUUUUAUUAAACAGCAAUGCUGUAACUUACUGCUUGCUUUGCACAGUUUUGAACAGUUAGUCAUUAUAAUCAGGGGAUACAAGCUCUUGCUGCUUCACUUCUCUCACUCAGGCAACAAUGAAACCCUAUUGUUAUCCUAUCGAUCAUUGACAUUUUUUUCACCAAAAGGCUCACCAGUUAAAGACAUGGUAAUUGUCAGCGUUUUUAAUCGCUUAUAUUGCUGUAUUUCUAACUUUUCUGCUGUAAUAGGUUUGAUUUUUUUUCAGGUUGAUCAGAGGACCUAUGCUGAUUCCAAAGAAGUUGAUUGUACUCACAAAAAAAAGCAAAAUAUUUAAAAUAUAACUCGUUUGCCUUGACAACUGAGUGGUUAUAGCGCAUGAAGCAUUUUGUUAAUAUUGGGGCCUUGUACACACUGACAUUUGACUUUUGACAGCUUGGUCCGAGGCAGGCUGCACAGUCAGCGCUGCUUGACGUGUAUUUCGGCUGCUGGUGCUGAUCAGAGGCUGGUUGGCAGCACGGGAGUUGCACAUUGAGUGUCGCGAUGGUCACAAACCAAUUUCCUUUGCAAUUGUCUGGAGUCGAUGACUGUAUUUGUGUGUGUGUGUGCAAUGCUUUUCUUUGAGAAGAGGUCAAUAAAAACAUUUGCACCACAGCCAAUCACAUGAACUUGCCUUGAAUGUUUUAUGGGGAAUAAUAUCCACUGUACUAAACCUGAUAAUACAUAUUGGUUCAUUUGGUUCACCCUGACUGUAACCAUACAUUUUGUUUGCAAGUGUCCUCACACGCACAUAUUCGCGACAUAUUCAUGUCACUGUGGAACUCCUGUGCGUGGAAAAAUAACAUUUUUUCCUUUUUCCUUUUUUUAAAUUGCACACUAAAAAUAACUUUGGAAAAACGUUGUUUAUUUUUGAAAAAUGAAAGAAAUUACCUGGAGUUUUAUCUUAUGUUGAUUUUGUUUCACACGAUAACAGUCUUAGUGAACUUUAUUAUAAACAAUCUCAAUCCCUGUUAACAAUUAAACAACUUUAAAAAGUCCUUUGCUCAUUCUUUCUCCUUUAAUUCCCACUCACCCUCUUUUUCUUGUUGAGUGACAGGUGGGCUCGUCCUGUCAGGAUUUUUUUUUGCCAGGGCUGGAAUGGAGACAGGGCUAGUUUCAUGCACAUGUUACUGUACUGUUGUGUUCAAAAUGAAGAAACGCAGGACAGACAAAGGACAUCGCAGAUUGAAAGGUUAAAACCAAAAGUAUUUAAUAAAAGAAAGGGUGUUCUGAGGAGCCGCUGGUCUCUGCGAUCAACAGGCCACAGGGCCCAUCGACCCCCAUAGUGACUGUCUGUUGCCUCCACCAGCGAACUCGAGAACAAUGGAUACCUACAGGUAUUUAUACAGAGCAGUAAAGGUGUGAAAGUCAGUGUCCACACCUCUGGGAGAGGUCUGCUGGUGAGUUCAAUGUAACUAGAAUUUCGAGUAUCAUUUGUGGGGCUAUCAAGUAUUACAUGUAUGCAUUCCAGUUGAUUACAUCACAUUAAAUACAAUCAUAGCUGUACAGUGGUAUCAUUCUAUUGAUUACACAGAUCCAGAAUCAUGGCUGUAUUCUGGUGCACACUAAAUGCAUUUUAUUAAUUUAUGAACCGGGUCGUCAGUUUAUUUCUAAUAUCCUACAGUACACAUUGGCUAUCUUGAGCGAUAUUUGUUUUUUUAUUUAUGUUUAUAGUGGAAAAAAUCUGCCUCACAGCUGUAUGUGGAGCCAAACACGGUUAAGAUGUAGAGAGCUUCUUCCCUCAGAUCUGCAGCCUGUCUCAGAGACCAUUUGGAGCCAAAAGGUGGAAGGGUCAGGCCCUCCAAAAUACACUUUCGGGGCGCUUGAAGAUCAAUCUGUUGCAUCUGGAGAGGCAGAGCAUUUGUCCACUUGAAGUGUUGUUUGACUUCCUUUGAGAACUCUCUUAGUCUGUGAUGAGGAAUGGCUUCUGGAUGAACGGAGAGCUGCUGUCCAAGGCAGAUGUUUCCAAUCAGGUUGUCAACAAAGUUAAUGAUGAAGAUAUCUCACUCUGAACCCAAUCCUGUCCUAUUGGGAAGUGUGCAGUCUAUCCAGGUCUUCCUUGAACACCUCGGGUUUCCUGUGGAAGAAAUGCAAAGCUGCCAUCGGGUCACAAACAGAUUUGUUUUUGCCCGUGAAAAGUGCUUAAGUUCAGUUUACUCAGGUUGGAAGUUAUGUCUACCAGAAAAGCAAUGAUGUGCUUAUUGUUUUCAUCUUCCAAGAAGAGAGAAAAUGAUGUGGUCUUCUAGCGCUUCAUCUUUUUAAGGAAGGCAGCAGCUCCUCUUCGCAUGGACCAAACACUUUGCUGAGCCAUCUGAUGGUUGUUGUACAGCAGAAGGUCAUCAGUAUUUGCAUCAAUUUCAUUUUUCAAGUAAUUUCAAUUUCAAGUAUAGUUUGAGCUACCCCGCUCAUGCACUCCUCAGACCACCUCUCUUUUUAUGUUCACCUAAUAUCCAAGAGAACAUUUGUUAGCAUGUUGUUGGGCAGUGGAUGAAUACCCUUAAAUUAUUUAUUUUAUAUGUUUGGCCAACAGAUUUAUGCCAGGUCUCGUAGUGGCAUUUCACAUUAGCGCUUUAAUAAUGGCCACGGUAUCUGAACAUAUGAGAGUGGGUAUGUAGCACCAGCAGGAAGGAUGAACAAAUAAGAGUCCGUCCAUUCCUUUUAUUAAAAGCUCCAUUUCGGCUGUCCACUUUUCUCUUUUUGGAGCACACCAUGUGAAAUCACUUCUCCCCCUGCUCUCUUUCCCUGUCUCUCCCGUCGUUUUGUAAAUCUCACUUGACUCAUGAUGCCUUUUGGGAAUACACGUAUUCGACUGGGUAGCACCAUGUAAGAUGAUUACCUCACAUGCGAUUGGUCGGUGUUUCCUGCACAGCUGCUCUGCCAAAAUGUAAAAUUCUCAAUUAUCAGAUAUACGUCCGGGAUUCAGAAUGGACGGCAUCUUAGUUGUUUCCAGACUGCGGCCCGCCCAUUAAUGACCCGUGAUCUACAUGAACCAGCAACUUAAACCAGCAACUGUCUUCCACAGAGUUUCUUCUGUGGGAAACACCUGCAGUACAUCAGCUCUGCCAGUGUUGUGCAUGUGGUCAUUGAUCCACUCAAAAAGCCAGGAUGUAGAGUUGUUUUUUUUAAAUCUGACCGCACGUUCCUAGCACUUAUUCACAGAUGUCACAAUAACAGGUAUAUUGUUUUACAUGUUUACCAGUAGUGUAAAGAAGUCCCGCAACAGCCGAUGUAGUUUGCAAUGACCGGGGGGUUUUCCUCUCCUGACUGAGCAUUUGCAUAAUGGAAUUACGGACUCAGCCAUGCUAUGUCUUUAGUGGACCAUUAGGCAGGCCUUUACUGGAUUGUAAUUAGUGGCUUCUGCCCUUCACCUUCAUUAGCAUGCAAAUGAAAACUCUGAACACCAAGAAAUAUUUGGCACUUUGGGAGAAAAAAUGCCAAAGUGAUUAACAGGCAAUACGCCGCAGAAUUGUCUAUUUCUAUCCAUCACAGUUUAGAGCACUUGAAACGGGACAACGCAAAGUGUUUGAGUCCUCGCAGGUUGAUCCGAGCAAGCAGCUGUUGAAAUGAAUUUUGAUGACACGACUGGUGACUGAGAGCUCAAUUUGACCAAAAGGGUCUUUGGCUUUAAUCGAGAAAAGAAUAAUUCAGACCAGAUGUUCAAGAUGGAUACGAUUUAACUUUUAAUCUUCCAGUUUAUCCUUUUUUAAAUCAAAGCCAUGUCUCAUAUGCUUCUACCUUCUAAUACUGGAUUUUCACGAUGUCUUUCUUCCUUUGCGUUCACGCCUACCAGGAUACUUUUUUAACACUACCUAAUAAGAUGUUGUACUUGAACUCCUAAACCGUGUAGUAGAAUUUGCAAUUCUAAUGUGCUCAUUUGAAUUAAAAUGCUGCUUACAAUGAAUACAAUUGAACUUGUCAGACAAGACCCUGCCAAAAGUGGCCCGGACACAUACACAUUAAUCACAGGAGGUGGCCGCUGGGCUGGCGAGUGAGAGCAUUCUUCCAGCGGCGGCAUAUGCCAGAGAGGGUCAAGCCUGGGGGUCGCUCUCCUUUUGUUAACCCUGUCUUAUUAAUAGGUGAAAGUCAUCGGAGGGAGACAGGUUUGAAGGCAGCACCGGAUGAAAUACAGCUAUAUGAAUCAUUUGUUAGAGUAAGAGAAAAGAAAUAUGAAUUGACCAUUUGUUAGUAUAAAAAGGUUUGCAGGAAACAUCCUCAGCUUGUGUUUACAGUCCUUCCUCAUAACCCUCAAUUUAAAUCUCCGAAGGCCAAGCAGUUAUUGUUGUAUUGGUGCCUUUCACUGUGCAGAAAAACAACAGCCACAAAAAUGCAUUGGAUUCAUCAUGAAACAAAUUAAACAUGUCACAUGAACAAUCAUGUUGACUACCAACACGGAGCAGUACAUCUAAAAAGAUUUACUGUCAGAAACUCUGAGCCAAAAGACAAAACAGUAAACAAACAUGAACAUUCUUUAUUUUAAAGAAAACCUCAGUUUGACAGCUCUAGUAUUCUAAAGAGUGCAGUUUAGCAGCCAACUGUUAUUGUGUGUAUAUAUAUAUAUAUAUAUAUAUAUAUGGAAUAAUGACUUGAAUGCACAAAUAUGUCUGAAUAUAUACAAAUAAUCAAGUAAAAUAAGGAUGAAGCGCUGAUACAAACUGUGAUGUUUUUUAACCACUACCAGCUAGUGAGCCGACCUCAUACAUCAUGAGUUGAUUACACACUGACAACCUGAGUGUCCACAUCAGGUUCAUAUUGGAGGAUUCUAUGAUUGAGGUCACAUGCUCCAGUGUGCAGUCAGUCAGUGCUGCUAAGUAGUGUCUUCAUUAUGCAGGGUGGUGCUUGUUGGAAAGACAUCAAAACUGUAAGUAUAAAUGUUUCAAUAUAUAAUAGAAUAGUAAUAGUAAUAGAAGUAUAUUUCAAUUCGUAAAUCCCAAAUUCCCAUCAUCAUUUAGCUAACAAUUUUAUCCAAUAAGUGCAUUCAAAAUGGAGGGUUCGCAUAACCACAAGAACCAAGAAAGUACAAUUUCUUCAAGAAAACUAAAGUGCUAGAAGUAAGUCCCUUUGUAAGAGCUAAUAAAUAAAGUGUUAACUAGUCCUGGUAUAGUGGUUAGAGGUGUGUUUUGGGUUGUGUAGGCUUUCUGAUGUCCUGAUGUUAUUGGGGAGCUCGUUCCACCGUCUAGGAGGCAGGACCUCAAACGUUCAGCAUGCCGUUGAGUGUUUCGCUCUCUGUGAGGGAGCAGCAAGCAGCUUGAUGCAGGGCGAGUGAGCGGCAGGGACGUAAGGUUGGUCCAUGUCCUGGAUGUAGACAUGGACCUGAUCCGUCAGCCGCACGGUACGCAAGUAUCAAUGUUUUGAAACGGAUGCGGGCAGCUCCUGGCAACGAGUGAAGGGAGCGGAGGAGCAGACUAGUGUGGGUGAAUCAAGGUCAAAGACCAGUCGAGCGGCUGCACAAAUCAACUUGUGAAUGUGUGCACGAGGAUCAGCUUUAGACACCCACAUUCAACCACUAAUGGUCAAUGCAAAGCACCCCGAGGCUUCCUGCAUAGAAAUGAGCCUGCUGAUCAGGGUCCUUGUACACUUGUACAGGUAAGUGUCACGUGUAUUUGUUUGUGCCGGGGGAGGUGACUGGAGAGGCCGCUGUGACAGUCUGGCUCUAUGUGCUCUCUGACCUAACGGAGGACUGCAUUAUGUUGCAUCUUGUCCAGAUCUGUGCCAAGAGAAUCUUGCAUGUUUUCCCCACCUUUGUUGAUCGUCCGCCUCGCCAUGAUUAGUUCCACCUGUCUCAUGUCGGCCCUGCAGUCACCAAACAUCCUGCUCACCAUUUCCCACUUACGGGUUUGUCAGUUCCUGGCUGGAUUUGAAUUUCUAUUCAACCACUUUUCCUUCUCUGAGGAAUGCGAAAAUAUUCGCACGAAAAUACACCAAAUCUAUUGAAUCCUAUCGAAGCCGCGUUCCUCAUUGCGUAGAUGCUAUUGGAUUUUUUUCAAUUUCUGCAAACCGACGCGUCGUGUCAUCAGCUGUAAGGCGCUACGUAGAUCGCUCAGAGAGUCGGGGGUCCGGCCCUCUCCUCCUCCCUCCCGCUGGCAGACAGCAGAUAAAAUAUUAAGUGAAAUUAAGUGAUUCAAGAUUUGAGUUCUGAGAUGUACUGAGUUGGUGUCUAGAUGGCUCACUAACACAAAUGACACUGAUGGUUUAAAUAAUUGCAAGUAACAUGUGACGUGCAGUAAAGUUAAAUAUGUGAGCGGAAUCAUUGAACAUAUAUCGAUUCUUCUCCGUUUCACUAUGAGCUUCUGAAAUGAACCCACUGACUCCAUAGAGUGCCUAACGCAAGGAUCCGAGUGCUCUUACAGGUGGGCACAUUCUCACAUCAACUUAGUCUCUGGAUCGCAACUUUAGCGUGGGAAGCGGCAAGCAGCUCUUUAAUUCGUGUUCGCAUAAGCAACUCUUACCAAUGAGACCCCAGCUGCGCGAACAAGGACAACGGAUGUCAAGGGAGAGAUUUAAGUGGGAGUAAAAGUGGUUAACUACCUGUACGUAUCAGUAUGUACCAGCGUAUUGUUUCUGACCCUGCUGACCUCCACAUCGGUUGUAUUUAAAGUCUUGUGAGGUAAAGCGAGCGCUUAGAUUUUCCCUUCUGCUGGCGAGUUGGUAUGUAAAUGCAGCCGCAGCACAUUACUGACACUUAAAUUGUGUGUUCUGGAGAUUGGUUUUCCCAGUCAGCCACCGCAGUACGUCGUGCUAAAUAAAUUGGAUUACAAGUCAAGUAUUUAUUAAGAAAUGGGCGGUUUGCCAAUUCAUCACACAGGAAGUAUUUCAAAGUUGUCAGUAACUGAUUUCUGUAAUCUUCCAAUCGUCUGUCACAUAUGAAUGAUUCAUGUAUCAUUGAUUUUCCCGUAUGAGACAUCGUCCUAAAUUACAUGUCUUUGUAUUAUAAAUCUUAACCUUUAAGUUGUAUCGGUAAAUGUAUGAUAAAUAAUCUAUUAAAAUUCAACAACACUUGUUCAUAUCUGUCCCAAUGGAUGCGCUUUUGAGGAUUUUUCCCAACACGUCUCUUUUUUAUAUGCAUCUGUUUGUAUUCAUAGCAAGAUGUUUAUUUUGUCAAACAACAAAAAUGCACGUGAAUCAGAAGAGGACUAAUGAUUCUAUGUGUUGAGGUAUAGGAGUCAACACGUUCGCUGUCCCAACUCGUCCAGUACGGACGCUCUGCGUACGGGGAUCCGUUUUGGACAUCUCAAGGAGUCAGUUUCCCCUCGUCUGCUAGUUUUUAUUUUAUAAUAACCAACCGUGCUUGUGGUAAAAUGACUGAUUUCAAACAACCAAAAUGCCCCAUGAUUUGUAAAUAUCCCACAAUUUUCUUCCAUAUAAUAUGCAAUUGAUUUUUAAAGGACUAAGAAUGCUAAUUCAGCCACUGUUGUGGGUGUUUUUCUCAUGUAACUUGUGCACUUCAAU